AGCAUGUGGUUAAUUCGACGCAACGCGAAGUAACCUUACCAGGGCUUGACACUCCCCUGACCGCGUAUGAAAGUACGUUUUCACCCUCGGGUGACAGGGAGACAGGUGGUGCAUGGUUGUCGUCAGCUCGUGUCGUGAGAUGUUGGGUUAAGUCCCGCAACGAGCGCAACCCCUACGUUUAGUUGCUAACAGGUGAAGCUGAGCACUCUAGACGAACUGCCGUUGACAAAACGGAGGAAGGUGGGAUGACGUCAAAUCAUCAUGCCCCUUAUGUUCUGGGCUACACACGUGCUACAAUGGCCGGUACAGACGGAGGCGAAGCCGCGAGGCGGAGCAAAUCCGAAAAAGCCGGUCUCAGUUCGGAUUGCAGGCUGCAAUUCGCCUGCAUGAAGUCGGAAUCGCUAGUAAUCGCAGGUCAGCAUACUGCGGUGAAUACGUUCCCGGGCCUU
rnacentral:rRNA from 1 species